AGUGGCUGUGAAUUCUUCAGAAAAAAAGAAAAGGAGAAGAAGGGAAAACAAGCAUCAUGUACAAGCUACUAUUCUGUUUAAUUCUUCUCUCUUGCAUCAUAAUUGCCGUUCUUGGUAAUUGCCAGAUCAUUUGUGAGGGAGAUUGCCCUGGCCUGCAUUGCGCUCCGGAUGAAAAGCCAUUGAGAUUUGGCUGCAACUGUUGUCACAAAUGUGUCAAAGCAUAAAUCGAGAUUACAUUACUACAACAGAACUUCUAGAAGAAAGUCCUUGCAAAUUCAACUUCUUCUCAAAUUAAAAUAAUGACGACUAUUUUUACCGUCAGAGGUCGAAUUCUGUAAAAUCUGAAGCAAUCAGUGCCAUAAUAUACUA